rnacentral:rRNA from 1 species
AUUGAACGCUGGCGGCAUGCCUUACACAUGCAAGUCGAACGGCAGCGCGGACUUCGGUCUGGCGGCGAGUGGCGAACGGGUGAGUAAUACAUCGGAACGUACCCUGUUGUGGGGGAUAACUAGUCGAAAGAUUAGCUAAUACCGCAUACGACCUGAGGGUGAAAGUGGGGGACCGCAAGGCCUCACGCAGCAGGAGCGGCCGAUGUCUGAUUAGCUAGUUGGUGGGGUAAAGGCCCACCAAGGCGACGAUCAGUAGCUGGUCUGAGAGGACGAUCAGCCACACUGGGAUUGAGACACGGCCCAGACUCCUACGGGAGGCAGCAGUGGGGAAUUUUGGACAAUGGGGGCAACCCUGAUCCAGAAAUGCCGCGUGUGUGAAGAAGGCCUUCGGGUUGAAAAGCACUUUUGUCCGGAAAGAAAUCGCGCUGGUUAAUACCUGGCGUGGAUGACGGUACCGGAAGAAUAAGCACCGGCUAACUACGUGCCAGCCGCCGCUGUAU